GUAAACUCUAGAUUUUAUUUUUACAGAGUCUCACUAUAUCAGCUAGGCUGGUCUCAAACUCUAGACCCUCUUAGUCUGUGCCCCUGAGUGCUGGGAGUACAGGUGUGAGCCCAUGAGUGCUGGGAGUACAGGUGUGAGCCCAUGAGUGCUGGGAGUACAGGUGUGAGCCCCUGGGUCCUGGGAGUACAGGUGUGAGCCCAUGAGUGCUGGGAGUACAGGUGUGAGCCCCUGGGUCCUGGGAGUACAGGUGUGAGCCCCUGAGUGCUAGGAUUACAGGUGUGAGCCCAUGGGUGCUGGGAUUACACGUGUGAGUCUCUGAGUGCUGGGAUUACAGGUGUGAGCCCGUGAGUGCUGGGAGUACAGGUGUGAGCUCCUGAGUGCUGGGAGUACAGGUGUGAGUCUCUGAGUGCUGGGAUUACAGGUGUGAGCCCCUGAGUGCUGGGAGUACAGGUGUGAGCUACCACAUCUGGCUUAAGUAUCUAGUUGGGUAAUCAUUUGCAAGCCAUGCCUGUCUGAUUCCUGGGAAGUGGUCUUACAUGUCUUCUAGUUAGACAGCAGAUAAAUGGGUAGGAUAGGGAAGAGAAAAAAAAUACACAGGUGGCAAACAAUUAAAAAUAAUGUGGAGCUGGUUUAAUAGUAAAGUUGAUUACUUUACUUCUCAGCACACAUAGAAAGAAGUGGGUCAUCGCCAUUACUGGUCAUUGCUUGUUUGAGCAUGCCUUCUUGAGUACUGCUAAGAACCAGGGCUGACAUGCCAGAAAUGUAGUUCUGAGAUGGUAGUCAUGGUUGAGGUUAUUCAACACUCAGGCUCAGUUCAGAUUAUAGAAGGUCUCAGGGGACCUUCCUUCCUUCCUUCCUUCCUUCCUUCCU
ensembl:lncRNA